rnacentral:rRNA from 1 species
AUGCAGUCGAGCGGACAGAAGGGAGCUUGCUCCCGGAUGUUAGCGGCGGACGGGUGAGUAACACGUGGGUAACCUGCCUGUAAGACUGGGAUAACUCCGGGAAACCGGAGCUAAUACCGGAUAGUUCCUUGAACCGCAUGGUUCAAGGAUGAAAGACGGUUUCGGCUGUCACUUACAGAUGGACCCGCGGCGCAUUAGCUAGUUGGUGAGGUAACGGCUCACCAAGGCGACGAUGCGUAGCCGACCUGAGAGGGUGAUCGGCCACACUGGGACUGAGACACGGCCCAGACUCCUACGGGAGGCAGCAGUAGGGAAUCUUCCGCAAUGGACGAAAGUCUGACGGAGCAACGCCGCGUGAGUGAUGAAGGUUUUCGGAUCG